rnacentral:rRNA from 1 species
UACGUAGGGGGCGAGCGUUAGUCCGGAUUCAUUGGCGUAAAGAGCUCGUAGGCGGCUUUGGCAAGUCGGAUGUGAAAACUCCCGAGCUCAACCGUGGAGCCGCCAUUCGAUACAUGCUAGUGGCUAGAGUCCGGAAGAGGGAGAGUGGAAUUCCUGGUGUAGCGGUGAAAUGCGCAGAUAUCAGAGAACGACCCGCUGGCGAAGGCGGCUCUCCUGGGGACGGUACUGACGCUGAGACGACGAACGUGGGGAGCAACAGG